rnacentral:rRNA from 1 species
GUGGGGAAUAUUGGACAAUGGGCGAAAGCCUGAUCCAGCCAUGCCGCGUGUGUGAAGAAGGUCUUCGGAUUGUAAAGCACUUUAAGUUGGGAGGAAGGGCAGUAAGCUAAUACCUUGCUGUUUUGACGUUACCGACAGAAUAAGCACCGGCUAACUUCGUGCCAGCAGCCGCGGUAAUACGAAGGGUGCAAGCGUUAAUCGGAAUUACUGGGCGUAAAGCGCGCGUAGGUGGUUUUGUAAGUUGGAGGUGAAAUCCCCGGGCUCAACCUGGGAACUGCCUCCAAAACUGCAUGACUAGAGUACGGUAGAGGGUAGUGGAAUUUCCUGUGUAGCGGUGAAAUGCGUAGAUAUAGGAAGGAACACCAGUGGCGAAGGCGACUACCUGGACUGAUACUGACACUGAGGUGCGAAAGCGUGGGGAGCAAACAGGAUUAGAAACCCCGGUAGUCC